rnacentral:tRNA from 1 species
GGCGGGGUGGCCGAGUGGUUUAGGCAGGGGCCUGCAAAGCCCCGCACACCGGUUCGAUUCCGGUCCCCGCCUCGA